rnacentral:rRNA from 1 species
UCGAGACCGGGAGAGGUGAGAGGUACUUCAUGGGUAGGGGUGAAAUCUUGUAAUCCUUGAAGGACCACCAGUGGCGAAGGCGUCUCACCAGAACGGAUCUGACGGCAAGGGACGAAAGCUAGGGGCACGAACCGGAUUACAUACCCGGGUAGUCCUAGCCGUAAACGAUACUCGCUAGGUGUCGGCCACGGUGCGACCGUGGUCGGUGCCAUAAGGAAGCCGUGAAGCGAGCCGCCUGGGAAGUACGGCCGCAAGGCUGAAACUUAAAGGAAUUGGCGGGGGAGCACUACAACGGAUGGAGCCUGCGGUUUAAUUGGAUUCAACGCCAGAAAUCUCACCGGGACCGACAGCUAUAUGAAGGCCAGGCUGAACACCUUGCCGGAUUAACUGAGAGGUGGUGCAUGGCCGUCGUCAGUUCUGUACUGUGAUAC